CUGUGUUUACACAUUUUCAGCGUUUUCACUUGGUUGCUUCCAUUACCUGCACAUUUUUCUUCCCUCGCUCAGAUUUGUUCGACAACACGCGAAGUUCCACGAACGAAGCUCACCCUUCUCCGCCGCCGUGCGCUCCUCCGGCGACGCUCCUGCAUACGCUCCUCCGACGAUCAGGUCCGAAGCCUCUGAUUCUCCUCCAACAUCGUUGAAGGCAUCAACCACCUACUCUACGCCACCGUCACCUCCGAUUUUCGCUGCCGCGAACCACCGCUUCCUCUCCCGCUAUCCGCUUUCUUGUUUCUAUUCUAGUGUCGCUAGAGGCGACAUCGACUGCGAUUUGUUCGCUCUCGCUCUCUCCUUUCCGAUUUCACUGUACGAACACAACUCAGUGUUCCAUCAAAACCCUAAUUCCUCUUUCCAAUUUCAUCCAACUAUGCUUGUUAUUGCAUCUGCUUAUUGUGAUUGUCAUUAUCAUGAUUAUGUGAUUUGAUUUUUCACGCGUGCGUUGCAAUUUGCAUAUUAUGUUUCUUUCUCAAAUCAAAGCUUUUGAUUUCAGGGGUGAAUAUGGGGGAACACAUUCAGGUUUCGCUCUUGUUAUCAAACACACAUGCAAAUUUUUGCACUUAUUCUUUUGAUGAUCUGAGUCAGUAGAAUCUGAUAUGUUUUUAGUUUUUAUGAUAUGAUUUGGUUUUCUACCUUAAGUUCUGACAUUUGAGGAUAGAUUUAUGCAGAGUUUGCUAUUGUUCCAUAAGUGAAUUACUUGUUGAAGUCAUUUAUUUAGGGAAGUGUUAUCUGGUUGAAUAAUUCUGAUUUAUGGCAAGGCUUUGCAAAUUUUGCUUAGUUCCUUAUCCAACAAAACCUGUAGGAUGGAGCUGGGUAGAGGAUUAGCAGUUUCAUCAUUCACGUAAAUCCUUUUUUUAUGCUUUGAGAUUUUCUUAUGACUGCUAUGGAUGCUUUGCUAUAAUGUCGCUGAUUUUCUUCUCUUUCGACAUGAAUCAACAAAUGAUGAACAAUCAUGUUAGUAGCUUUUCUGUGAAUAUUGAGUUUUGAUUAUUCCAAUUUUUGUGUAUAUUCAACCGAGACAACUAAGUUUUCUUGAUUGAAUCAAAAUUUCCUGUACUAAAAUUGAUUGUUUUCUGGUUGCUGGUGAUUCAAUUCCCCCCACCCCCCCUCUUUUAUUUUCCAAAUUCAAUGCACAGUGCUUAUUGGUAGGAUAGAUACUUGUAGUGAGGGAGUAAUUAACUUGUACUUGAUUUGGCCUGUGACCUAGGCUUCUACCUUUCAGUUCGCAGCUAGUAAGAGACACUAGAGAGAAGCAGAUACAGCUAUGGAAAGAGCUUAUUUUAGACUAGUGUAAAACCCAGAAGAUAUUUGUGAUCAGGCUUGAAGAAGAAUUUCCUCUAUAGUGAACCUGAGCAAUUGCCUUUGAAUAUCCUGAAUCGAUUUUUAGGUCCAAUGAUUCUAUAUUCAAUAAUUAUGUUUUUGUUAAGUACUUUAUUAGAUGUUUAAGUAAGUGCAGAGGGAUGGGUUUGGUUUAUAACUUCUAUGAAAUAUGCCCACAUGUCUUUUUCUUUUUUUUGGUAGUUAAAGUGACAGAUUCAUUUUAAUUCAUCUGCUAUGUUUAUACUGUUAUGUUCUGCUUCUUAUAGUUCGCCAUAGCUUUCUCAAUUGCUUCUUAUAGGAUGUUGACAUUUUCCUUGUUAUAAAUCACGCAUCCUUCUUACUGCUGAAAAUGGAAGAGUAUUAGCGGACAAGUUAUUGAGAGUAGGAGGAACAAGAGUAUUCCCACAACACACUAAUCAGCAACUCAGGUUUCCAUUCCCUUAUUUUGCUUCCCCCUCCCCAUCAUUAUGGCCCCUGCUCAAUAACCUUCAUUUUGACAAGAGUAGGCACAAGAAGUGAAUCUUCAUUUUGAAUUGCUGAGCUUGUUGUGUCCCUGAUGGAAAAAAAGUGUGAUAUAUAGAAGAAAAGCACAGGGUCAAUCGAUCACUUGACGGGAAGGAAAACAUCUUAUGAUAUGGAACCAAAUUGUUGGGAUCUAUUUCGAAAGAUCCACACAGUGAAGGGAGAUAAGUCAAAGUGGGUGUCCCAUGAGGAGAUUAUUCGUUCUUCCCAAGAGGCUUUCCAAUAUUGUCUAACAAGUAAACUUUGAUGAGAUUUUGCAUAAAUUAAUUUGAACCUUCAAUUUUCAUUUUACUUUGUUCAUUCAUUAUAAUGUAAUAGUGUGUUGAGCUAGAUAUUUGAAAUUGGGAUGAAUUGUUAAACUUGCACAUUAGUUGGCUAUUUGAAAUUUAUUUUUGUUGCUUUGCUUUCAAAUUUUACAAGUUACUUAAA